GACGAACGCUGGCGGCGUGCCUAAUACAUGCAAGUAGAACGCUGAAGGAGGAGCUUGCUUCUCUGGAUGAGUUGCGAACGGGUGAGUAACGCGUAGGUAACCUGCCUGGUAGUGGGGGAUAACUAUUGGAAACGAUAGCUAAUACCGCAUAAUAGCAGUUGUUGCAUGAUAACUGUUUGAAAGGUGCAAUUGCACCGCUACCAGAUGGACCUGCGUUGUAUUAGCUAGUUGGUGGGGUAACGGCUCACCAAGGCGACGAUACAUAGCCGACCUGAGAGGGUGAUCGGCCACACUGGGACUGAGACACGGCCCAGACUCCUACGGGAGGCAGCAGUAGGGAAUCUUCGGCAAUGGACGGAAGUCUGACCGAGCAACGCCGCGUGAGUGAAGAAGGUUUUCGGAUCGUAAAGCUCUGUUGUAAGAGAAGAACGAGUGUGAGAGUGGAAAGUUCACACUGUGACGGUAUCUUACCAGAAAGGGACGGCUAACUACG
rnacentral:rRNA from 1 species